UUGAUCUCAAAUCAGGUAGGACUACCCGCUGAACUUAAGCAUAUCAAUAAGCGGAGGAAAAGAAACUAACAAGGAUUCCCCUAGUAACUGCGAGUGAAGCGGGAAGAGCUCAAAUUUAAAAUCUGGCGUGCCUCUGGUCGUCCGAGUUGUAGUCUGGAGAAGCGUUUUCUGUGUUGGACCGUGUAUAAGUCUCUUGGAACAGGGCGUCAUAGAGGGUGAGAAUCCCGUCUUUGACACGGACUACCAAUGCUUUGUGAUGCGCUCUCAAAGAGUCGAGUUGUUUGGGAAUGCAGCUCAAAAUGGGUGGUAAAUUCCAUCUAAAGCUAAAUAUAGGCGAGAGACCGAUAGCGAACAAGUACCGUGAGGGAAAGAUGAAA
rnacentral:rRNA from 1 species